UAUACGAGUGUGAAAGAGGAGAUUCUGUGGAUUAUUUUGAUCCCAAUUAUUGCCAUGGUUACUUUAUUAUUAUUCUAGUUUGCUGGGCUUCUUCCGGGCAUUCGCGCUAAUUACGAAGUUUCAAAGGAAGUCGCUAAAAUACACAAAUUUCGGCUAGUUAUAUCUUUUUUGUUUAUGCUCUGAUUUUUUUCGUUAUUGUGUGAUUUGAAAGAUAAAGUGUCCAUUUACAAUCGUAUGUUUUUUGUUUUUUGAUAAUUGUGCAACGAAAUUGUAAAAAUGCCGUGGAAAAGAGCAACACAAUACAAGCGCUUCGUAUGUCGGGAGCGUAUGCGACAGCAAAGGUUAAGCUCUAUAGCCAUAGAUAACAAGACGAAGCAGGUUAGAGCAACGGCUAAGAAGUUAAAAAGAUUGGAUAAAAGGGUAAGAUGAGCCUUUUAAUUGUUUUGGUAGUUUAUUUAGUACAAAAUUUUAACAAAUCGAUGCCUCUAGGUAUAGUCAAAUCAUAGUAUUUAGGCCAAAUAAAAAAAAAUACUUGGUUAGCGUCACCGCCCGCCUCUCAAUUUCUGCCGCCUCUGAAUUUUUUUUUUUUUUUUUUUAUGCAAAUUUCUUCGUUUUACAGCUUAAAACAGUUUAAUAUUUGAAAUUUUUCUCAUGUUCAGACGUCCGCGCUAUAUACUGAUCGAAGGAGCGCCUUGGCACAGAAUACUACACAGAAGUCCAUCUUCAUUGUUUUUUGCGUAAGCUCUAUUCGUCAUGAUUCGUCACUCAGCAAGUACCGUAAACAGAAGCAGUCACCCCCCUGAACAUGCUCCAUUUUAAGUAUUUCCAGGGGGGUGACUGCUUCUGUUUACGGUACUUGCUGAGUGACGAAUCAUGACGAAUAGCGCUUACGCAAAAAAACAAUGGAGAUGGACUUCUGUGUAGUAUUCUGUGGCGUUGGCUUGGGUAUACAAGGUUCUUACAGCAAAAUGGCGGCCUUCGCAACAUCAGUACAAAAAAUUUCACCGAUAUGGUGGGAAAACAGCCUCCAUCCCCCCAAAAAAUACUAUUAAAAAAUUAAAAAACGAGUAAAAAUUAAAAAAAAAAGCGCCCGCCCGCCUCUGAAAAUAAUUGAGAGUGUGACGCUAACCAAGUAUUUUUUUUUAUUUGGCCUUAUACAUAUUUUUUCAACAUGAUCGAUCGGCUCAGUUGCUAGGUUAAUGUUUACUUAGCCACUUGGACAGUGAGUCAAAGAUCCAUUCGUUGAAUGUAUUUAUUUAUGUUUAUUGUUUUAUACUGCAUGAAUAAUCUUUCAAAAGCAUUUUUGAUAAUAAUACCCAACAUUUUUACCUUGACAAGUAAAGACAGUAAAUUUGUCUGACAAUUCAAUAUUUGAUUGUUUCACCUAAUGACCAUUCAUUUUAUAUACCCCCCCCCCCCCCCCCCNNNNNNNNNNNNNNNNNNNNUAACGAAAUUUGUCAGGGGGUAACCUGUAAAUACACCCUUUCGAUGAUUACAAAACACAUACUUUUUGCUCUUGGAGACCCAGAUCAUGAUUCAUGAGUGCAAGGCUCCCAGGCCAAAUGACGUAAUUACUGAAAGGGUGUAUUAUUAAAUUUUUGGAUAAAAUUCAUCCGAAGGGUUGUCUAAAUAGGAAGUAAUUCUGAGUAGCAUGGUAUUGGAGAUGAGGUUUUCCGAGGGAUUGCCUCAAUUUUAACAAAAUUCUUCAGGGUAACUUGUAAAUACACCCUUUCGAUUAUUACGUCACACAUACUUUUUGCUCUUGGAGCCCCAGAUCAUGAUUCAUGAGUGCAAGGCACCCAGGCGAAAUGAUGUAAUCAUUGAAAGGAUGUAUUAUCAAAUUUUUUGAUAAAAAUUUAUCCGAAGGGUUGUUUAAAAUAGGAAAUAAUUCUGAACAGCAUGCUAAUGGGGAUGAGGUUUUCUGAGGAAUUGCCUAAAUUGUAACCAAAUUCUUCAGGGUAACCUGUAAAUACACCCUUUCGAUUAUUACGUCACACAUACUUUUUGCUCUUGGAGUCCCAGCUCACAAUUCAUGAGUGCAAGGCUCCCAGGUCAAAUGAUGCAUUUAUUGAAAAGAUGUAUUAUCAAAUUUUUUGAUAAAAAUUUAUCCAAAGGGUUGUCUAAAAUAGGAAAUAAUUUUGAACAGCAUGCUAUUGGGGAUGAGGUUUUCUGAGGGAUUGCCUGAAUUUUAACCAAAUUCUUAAGGGUAACCUGUAAAUACACCCUUUCGAUAUUUACGUCACACAUACUUUUUGCUCUUGGAGCCGUGGGUCUCGAUUUAUGAGUGCAAGGCUCCCAGGCCAAAUGACGUAAUCAUUGAAAGGGUGUAUUAAAAUUUUGGAUAAAAAUUUAUCCGAAGGGUUGUCUAAUAUAGGAAAUAAUUCUAAACAGCAUGAUAUCGAGAUGAGGUUUUCUGAGGGAUCCCUGAAUUCUUAGGGUUUUUGCACCAGGACAACAAAUUUAUGGUGAUUUGUGCGGCUGACAGGGAGACGGAGUGAUGGGGUUGGGCAUUGGGUUUAUAAUUAUUGUAGAAUAUGUAUAAUUAUUGUUUAUAAUUAUUGCAUGUUUUUGCAGGAAUAUACCCGGGAAUGCAAGAAUGAUUUGGCUGUUCAGAUAUCAAACUACAAUCAUCAAAUAAUGCAAUGUCAGCAUUUUAUUGUUCUCAAUGUGAAAAAUAUUAAUAGAAAUAAAAUAUACACAGGCUAGUAUCCUGAUAGAUAGAACAUUGUAUUAUUAUAAGGUGUCGCAUACACUAGUACUGAUGCUACUUUGAGUGUGUUCACACCGGGCAAGCAGAAGAGUUUGCUUGACAGCGGUGGGAAUAGAACCCGCGACCUUUGGUUUGCUAGUCCAAUGCUCUACCAACUGGGCCAUACAUGCAAGGGGUCAAGUCGGUAAGAAAACCAAAAGUCGUGGGUUCGAUUCCCACUGCGAUUAAGCAAGAGGAGCAUCAUAAACAAACAGUGAUCUACAUAUUUAUCUAUAUCCCAC
rnacentral:lncRNA from 1 species